rnacentral:rRNA from 1 species
AUAAUAAUUUGUCUUUUAAUUGAAGGCUGGAAUGAAAGAUUGAAUGAGGUAUUAACUGUCUCAUUAAAAAUAAAUUUUUAAUUUAAUUUUUAAGUUAAAAAGCUUAAAUUUUAUUAUAGGACGAGAAGACCCUAUAGAAUUUAAUAAUUUUAUUUUUUUUAAUAUUUUAAAAUUAAUUUUUUUAAAAGUAAAUUAUUUUAUUGGGGCGAUAAAAAAAUUUAAUAAACUUUUAUAAAAAUUAUUUUACAUAGAUGAGUGAAUUUUUGAUCCUAAAUUUUAGAUUAUUAGAAUAAAUUACCUUAGGGAUAACAGCGUUAUUUUUUUUAAAAGUUCAUAUUUAUAAAGAAGAUUGC